rnacentral:rRNA from 1 species
AGAUGGCGACCGGCGCACGGGUGAGUAACACGUAUCCAACCUGCCGAUAACUCGGGGAUAGCCUUUCGAAAGAAAGAUUAAUACCCGAUGGUAUAAUCAGACCACAUGGUUUGAUUAUUAAAGAAUUUCGGUUAUCGAUGGGGAUGCGUUCCAUUAGGCAGUUGGUGAGGUAACGGCUCACCAAACCUUCGAUGGAUAGGGGUUCUGAGAGGAAGGUCCCCCACAUUGGAACUGAGACACGGUCCAA